rnacentral:rRNA from 1 species
UACGAAGGGGGCUAGCGUUGCUCGGAAUCACUGGGCGUAAAGGGUGCGUAGGCGGUGCGGCAAGUCGGGAGUGAAAUCUCUGGGCUUAACCCAGAGGCUGCUUCCGAAACUGCUGUGCUUGAGUGUGGGAGAGGCGCGUGGAAUUGCAGGUGUAGCGGUGAAAUGCGUAGAUAUCUGCAGGAACACCCGUGGCGAAAGCGGCGCGCUGGACCACUACUGACGCUGAGGAACGAAAGCUAGGGGAGCAAACAGG